rnacentral:lncRNA from 1 species
AUGCCAAUGACACAGAAUGGACGCGGGGACGCGUCCUCCAUGGGCAGAGCUCAUGCAACCGCGGUGUGCUUCGCUUCUCCACGCCACGCCACGCGCGCGCCUCUCGCCGCCUCUGCCGCGGGUGCUUCCUCUCCAGCUAGGGUUUCCACGACGAUCAUCACCGGCGACGAAGGCCGCGGGGGAAGCUGUCGCGACGCGUUCCGGGACCGGUUCAAGGUUCUUAAGAACCACGCCAUGCAGGAGGACAUAAAUCCAUGUUUUUUCUAUGCUGUAACUGGUUACUUCGAUUAUCGUGCAGAGAACAGACCCCGUCAUAAAGAAAGUGCAGCAAGUUCAAUCCUAGGAGAGAUUCCAAAACCAUUGAGAUACACACAUCUUGUAGGGGGGCAACAAGAUAGAGAUUCUUUGAAGAGACAGACAGCAGAUUGUAGCAUGAGUCUUGGUGAAUCAUCUAGUAUUCCAAAGAUAGCAAGAUCAAUCCUAGGAGAGAUUCCAAAACCAUUGCGAUACACACAUCAGUAUAACUGGGCUGACUUGGCAGUAGUGUAUGAGGAAGCAAUCUUUUUUGUGCUUCAGGCAUAUAAUGAGGAGGUUAUCCAUCUGUCCAUGAGGUAUGACAUGUUAUGGACCUGUUCUGCUGGCAAUCAUGCUCUUGACGAUGCAUUUCGACUUGCCCACCAGAUAUGUGCCCAAAAGAAUUGCAAAUGCCCAAUUAUACUCUUUUUGAAAAUUAUGAUUCUAAAAUUAGGAUUUACAGGUUCAUUGACUGUUCCUAAUGUGCUUGUUGGAAUGCAAACUCUACCAGUGGAGAAGAAGGCUGGUUCAAGCUGCUCUCCUGCUAUGAAUUCAAAAGGAGAGGAAGAUUCUUCAAAGUUGGAGGAACCAAAAGCAUCCAAGACUCCUGAGUACAGAAGUUCAUUGAUUGUUCCUAAUGUGCUGAAUGAAACACAAACUCUACCAGUGGAGAAGAAGGCCGGUUCAAGCUGCUCUCAUGCGCUGAACUCAAAAGGAAAGGAAGAAUCCUCAGGACGUUUGGGAAAAGAGCCACAAGCAUCAAGGGCUAAUAAUCCG